rnacentral:misc_RNA from 1 species
GAUGAAGAACGCGGCGAAAUGCGAUAAGUAAUGUGAAUUGCAGAAUUCAGUGAAUCAUCGAAUCUUUGAACGCACAUUGCGCCCGCCAGUAUUCUGGCGGGCAUGCCUGUCUGAGCGUCAUUUCAACCCUCAUGCCCCUAGGGCGUGGUGUUGGGGAUCGGCCAAAGCCCGCGAGGGACGGCCGGCCCCUAAAUCUAGUGGCGGACCCGUCGUGGCCUCCUCUGCGAAGUAGUGAUAUUCCGCAUCGGAGAGCGAUGAGCCCCUGCCGUUAAACCCCCAACUUUCCAAGGUUGACCUCAGAUCAGGUAGGAAUACCCGCUGAACUUAAGCAUAUCAAUAAGCGGAGGA